rnacentral:lncRNA from 1 species
AGGUAUCUUAACUAAUUACAAUUAGCAGGACCUGCCUGACAACCCAUGCCGAAAGUAAAGGGAAUUUAAUUUGCUAGCACUAUAUUUAACCCUAUAACUUUCCGAGACACCACAAAACCUGUACAUGGGGGGUACUGUUCUACUCGGGAGACUUCGCUGAACACAAAUAUGAGUGUUUCAAAACAGUAAAAUGUAUUACAACGAUGAUAUCGCCAGUAAAAGUGAAUUUUUUUGCAUUUUUCACGCACAAACAGCAUUACAC